GUUCAUUUCUGUAUAUGGUAGCAUGAAUGCGGGAGAAUCCUCAGUUGCUUUUCGUCGGCCCCAUCUUCAGUAUGAAUAGUAUCUUCAAGUUUUUUUUUCUCAUCGCUCUGCUGGGGGUCGGCCUCCAACUUGGUUACGCCCAGGAAAGGGACUGCUCGAAUAGUUGUAUUUUUACUGCCAAAUGCUCGCCCUACUACAAGGAUCUGGUCUGGGCAGUUGUAAAUUGCGUCUGUCGCGUCUUUCAGAACGGCUGUCUUUUUGCACACGAGAACUGCAUAAGAGCAAACCAAUGCUUGCCACCGAUGAUUGCCACAUCCCAGGAAAAGUGUAAGGAGUACUGUCCGAAGCGUUGUACGCGUGAGGGUCCGGCUGUCUGUGGCAGGUUCCCCUACAUCGACGGCGAGGGAGUCAACAGGGAAAGGUAUUUGUCCUUCGGAAAUCGUUGUAUGCUGAAUCAAUAUGCCUGCGAGAAUGCUGUGGCAUAUGUAGAUGAACCAACCAUUGGAGCCUGUCCCUAAAUAAUACAGUGGAAUAAAAUCAUUGGAAAUUCAUGUAAAAUGUCGAAAAUGAAACUUCGAACUGUUCAAUUUGUAGGAGGAACCUGGAAUUUUCAAUUCUUUUCUUCGCUAUCCAAUCUAUCCAUAGUGUCAAUUAUUAAAAAGAAUUUCAGUCCUGUCCGAUUUUUUUUACGGCGUGCUUUGCGCCUUAUCGGAAAUUGUUAUUUUUGUGUGGGACUCUUGGUGGGCUUGAGUAUAAAUAAUAACGAUAAAACCAUAAUUAAAAAGAUAUGAGUGGAACCGCUAUUUGGUGGGUGUGCCUAGAACUCCCUUAAGAACAAAAUAUUCUGCGAGCAGAAUUAUUACUUAUUCCACAAGCGACAUUAUAGUGUGCCCCAAAAGUAGGCAAAUGGGAACUUACAUAGUUGCUGUACGACCCAUCGGACGCUGAAUAUGUAACAGAUUUGAUGUCGCGGUUCAAGACGCUUUUCAAGAGGCCAGCUGCCCAUGCAUGGUCAAGGACUGCUGCAGGUAGUUCCAGGUUCCAGGUACUGAACUGAUAUCCGAUA